rnacentral:tRNA from 1 species
ACGUUUUUAGUUUAAGGGUAAAAUAAAGGUCUCCAAAACCUAAGAUGAAAGUUCAAUUCUUUCAAAACGUG